UGGCUCAGUGUCAGAGUUCUUGCCUAACAUGCAGGAGGCCCUGGGUUCAACCCCCAG
rnacentral:tRNA from 1 species